AGAUCAUGGCUCAGGAUGAACGCUGGCGGCGUGCCUAACACAUGCAAGUCGAACGGAGACUAAGCGCUUCGGAGACUUCGGUCAAUGUUGCUGGUUUAGUGGCGGACGGGUGAGUAACGCGUGGAUAACCUGCCUCAUACAGGGGGAUAACAGUUAGAAAUGACUGCUAAUACCGCAUAAGCGCACAGUUUCGCAUGGAACAGUGUGAAAAACUCCGGUGGUAUGAGAUGGAUCCGCGUCUGAUUAGCUAGUUGGCGGGGUAACAGCCCACCAAGGCGACGAUCAGUAGCCGGCCUGAGAGGGUGAACGGCCACAUUGGGACUGAGACACGGCCCAAACUCCUACGGGAGGCAGCAGUGGGGGAUAUUGCACAAUGGGGGAAACCCUGAUGCAGCCGACGCCGCGUGAGUGAAGAAGUAUUUCGGUAUGUAAAGCUCUAUCAGCAGGGAAGAUAAUGACGGUACCUGACUAAGAAGCACCGGCUAAAUACGUGCCAGCCGCCGC
rnacentral:rRNA from 1 species